rnacentral:piRNA from 1 species
CUUGGGAAACAUAGAUUUGAAAUCUUUUC